rnacentral:rRNA from 1 species
GUGGGGAAUUUUGGACAAUGGGCGCAAGCCUGAUCCAGCAAUGCCGCGUGCAGGAAGAAGGCCUUCGGGUUGUAAACUGCUUUUGUACGGAACGAAACGGUCCUGGCUAAUAUCCGGGGCUAAUGACGGUACCGUAAGAAUAAGCACCGGCUAACUACGUGCCAGCAGCCGCGGUAAUACGUAGGGUGCGAGCGUUAAUCGGAAUUACUGGGCGUAAAGCGUGCGCAGGCGGUGCUGUAAGACAGGCGUGAAAUCCCCGGGCUCAACCUGGGAAUUGCGCUUGUGACUGCAGUGCUGGAGUGCGGCAGAGGGGGAUGGAAUUCCGCGUGUAGCAGUGAAAUGCGUAGGUAUGCGGAGGAACACCGAUGGCGAAGGCAAUCCCCUGGGCCUGCACUGACGCUCAUGCACGAAAGCGUGGGGAGCAAACAGGAUUAGAUACCCUGGUAGUCC